rnacentral:tRNA from 1 species
GUUCCCGUAGCUCAGCAGGAUAGAGCGAUUGCCUCCUAAGCAAUAGGUCACAUGUUCGAAUCAUGUCGGGAACG